rnacentral:lncRNA from 1 species
AAACUCCAUCUUUAUUGGCUGUAUAAACAUCUCUGGUCUGUACAUACAUUUCAUACAUCGUAGGGUGGGAAGCGAGGGCCAAAGGGAGGCCCAGCAGCACAACAGCUCACCCGCUUUCCCUACAGCCCUACCCGCUCUGUGCAAACCAAGGCCAACAGCUCCUGCUGCCUCUUCCUCCCUGGAAAAGUCACUGUUACGGGGAGGGGGUCAGGGGUUGAAGGAUUAGAAGGAGAUAGAGGGCUUGGUGGGGAGGACACAUGUAAGUGCUAGAAUCAAACACUGAAGCGAAACAGGCAACUGGCACAAGCAGCAAGCUGAGGCAUGGGACGGGGCAGGAAAAGGGGAGGGAGGGGCCACGCUGCCCCUCUGGGCUUGCUCAGCUAAGGGACAUGGGUGGCACAGGUAAAGAAAGGAUGGAAGGGGAGAAAGGAGUGAAGGCCCUAGUGCCCUGUCACCUCACAGCCCCUCUCUCUUAAACAUGCAACAGGCACCCACCCAUGUGGGUCCAGGUAUGGGGAGCCAGAGACCUAGAUCCUCUGUGGUGCCUGAGCAGGUUGGGGUGGGGAGCCAGCUCUCAAGGGAAAGAUGGAGAGCCUAGAGGAGUCUUCCUGGGGCAGCAGCCAGUGAAAGGACAGAGAUGAACAAAGAGAGGUCCCCUGGCCCUGCCAGGGGUAUGACAGCAGCAGCUGGUUCACACAACCAGCAAAGAAAACAAGAGGAAUUCAAGGAGAAAUACCAUGGUGAGUAGGGGAGGGGGCUGUCUACUCUACCCUCUACAAAGCAUCAUGCCCGAAUAGCAGCUGAGAUAGGGUGCUCACGCCUCUCCACCCACACAGGGCCAGUGAGGGAAAGGGGGACCCAGAAGCCCACUGACCAAAGCGAGUGGGACCACCCACAUACCAACACCAUUCUUUGGGUCCAUUCCUGUCCAACCAGGGACUCAGGCCCAGGGACUGACAACAGUGGCAGCACCAGGUCAGAAACGUGGACACAGAGAAGCAUGACAGGGGCCUGAGCCAGUGGGGGCAGAGUGACUACACACCUCCAGGGGCCUGCUGGGUAAACGAAGCCUCUGGGAAGUCAGGAACUGGGUGCCUGGCCCAGCAGAGGGUGAGCAGGGAGAAGGAGCAGGUCUGGAGGGGAGGCCCUAGCCACUCAAGGGGUGCAGAUCUACUUUGACUUUCUCCCCACAGCUCAGCAUUCCAAUGGUGGGGAAGAAGCCUCCAGAAGGAACAACAGCAUCCUUCUUCCCAAUGAUCUUGCCAUUCCGAGUGAAGAAAACCUGGGGAGGAGGUGGGGAGAAGAAUGGAGCAAGCAGGCUGUGGCCUCUUCCCUGAGGAUGCUGGAGCUCCACAGGCCUGAACCCCAAUCACCCCAGCUUCCAGCG